GGGGUUGUGGCUCAGUGGUAGAGUGCUCACCUAGCAUGCUUGAGGUACUGAGUUCCAUCCUCAGCACCACA
rnacentral:tRNA from 1 species